rnacentral:rRNA from 1 species
CAGUCGCCGCGGUAAUACGGAGGGGGCUAGCGUUGUUCGGAAUUACUGGGCGUAAAGCGUGCGUAGGCGGUUCGUUAAGUCUGUUGUGAAAGCCCCGGGCUCAACCUGGGAAUGGCAAUGGAUACUGGCGAGCUAGAGUGUGUCAGAGGAUGGUGGAAUUCCCGGUGUAGCGGUGAAAUGCGUAGAGAUCGGGAGGAACAUCAGUGGCGAAGGCGGCCAUCUGGGACAACACUGACGCUGAGGCACGAAAGCGUGGGGAGCAAACAGGAUUAGAUACCCGGGUAGUCCCUGUCUCUUAUAC